CCUACGGGAGGCAGCAGUGGGGAAUAUUGGGCAAUGGGCGCAAGCCUGACCCAGCAACGCCGCGUGAAGGAAGAAGGCUUUCGGGUUGUAAACUUCUUUUGUCAGGGAAGAGUAGAAGACGGUACCUGACGAAUAAGCCACGGCUAACUACGUGCCAGCAGCCGCGGUAAUACGUAGGUGGCAAGCUGUGUCCGGAUUUACUGGGUGUAAAGGGCGUGUAGCCGGGUUGACAAGUCAGAUUUGAAAUCCUGCGGCUUAACCGCAGAACUGCAUUUGAAACUGUUGAUCUUGAGUACUGGAGAGGCAGACGGAAUUCCUAGUGUAGCGGUGAAAUGCGUAGAUAUUAGGAGGAACACCAGUGGCGAAGGCGGUCUGCUGGACAGCAACUGACGGUGAGGCGCGAAAGCGUGGGGAGCAAACAGGAUUAGAUACCCCUGUAGUC
rnacentral:rRNA from 1 species